CCUACGGGUGGCAGCAGUGGGGAAUAUUGGGCAAUGGGCGCAAGCCUGACCCAGCAACGCCGCGUGAAGGAAGAAGGCUUUCGGGUUGUAAACUUCUUUCGUCAGGGACGAAGCAAGUGACGGUACCUGACGAAUAAGCCACGGCUAACUACGGGCCAGCAGCCGCGGUAAUACGUAGGGGGCAAGCGUUAUCCGGAUUUACUGGGUGUAAAGGGCGUGUAGGCGGGACUGCAAGUCAGAUGUGAAAACCACGGGCUCAACCUGUGGACUGCAUUUGAAACUGUAGUUCUUGAGUACUGGAGAGGCAGGCGGAAUUCCUGGUGUAGCGGUGAAAUGCGUAGAGAUUGGGAGGAACACCAGUGGCGAAGGCGGUCUGCUGGGCAGCAACUGACGCUGAGGCGCGAAAGCGUGGGGAGCAAACAGGAUUAGAUACCCGGGUAGUC
rnacentral:rRNA from 1 species